UAUUUAAAAUGAAAAGUUCUCUUAUGAUAACACCACAUGUAAAUACUCCAUCGUCAGUACCUGGUUGAGCUCCCAGGUGGCAGUAUUGUGCCUUAACGCUGACACUGUCACAUAAGAAGAAGACGCAGCCCUCACAGCUACUUUGAGGAGAGCCUGUUCUUCAGAGUAAGUUGUCUUUAUUUUACUAGUCAUUGAAUGUGAAACGUUAUAUUAACCUGUUAUCAGCGGUUUUCUGUGUACAUAUAUUUAAAUAAAGGGUUUUUGUUUGCAAUCAAUACGGCCUGUGCAUAGUAACACUUCAUUUCUUUGUCUCGCAGUGCCAAGCAUUUAAUGCCUCAACUGCGGUAAUCCUUCAGUAUGGUUCAUUAGUUAACAUUAAUUAAUUCCAUUAGUUAACAUAUAUAAAUAACAUAAAUAAUAAUGAACAAUAUUUCCACAGCAUUUAUUAAUCUUAGUUCAUGUUAAUUUCAGCAUUUACUUAUGCAUUAUUAAAAUCACAAGUUGUGUUUGUAAACAUUAAUGCACUAUGAACUAACAUGAACGACUCUAUUUUUAUUAACAUUAACAAAGAUUAAUAAAUUGUGUAAUAAAUGUAUUGUUCAUUGUUCAUUCAUGUUAGUUAAUACAUUAAUGUUAAUAAAUGACAUCUUAUUGUAACGUGUUACCAUUAAUAUUUAUUCAUCAUACUGUUGAACUUGACAGUAUUUUCUCUCUUGUUAUUUCAUAUGAGCUUCAUAGAAGACGGAGAAAGCCAGAGUCUUGUGCACUGCGUUCAUCAAGAAGUCAGUGCUCAAGGACUGGGCACAUCUAUCCAACCACACAACUGGAUUUGAUUUCAAGGUUCAGCAGAGAGUGACAGAUAUGGAUCAUCUAAUUUAUGAGCUUGAACACAGAACCUUACGAGACUCACAAGGAGAGAAGCUACAACUAUUUACUUCUGCAACCUCCCUUGAUGUAUAAAAAUUAUAGUAACAUAUUUACAGAUACAUUGCAAUUAAAUAAAUACAUAAUAAAAAGACUUGUUGUACA
ensembl:lncRNA